rnacentral:rRNA from 1 species
AGUGAACGCUGGCGGUAGGCCUAACACAUGCAAGUCGAACGGCAGCACAGUAAGAGCUUGCUCUUACGGGUGGCGAGUGGCGGACGGGUGAGGAAUAAAUCGGCAUCUACUUUUUCGUGGGGGAUAACGUAGGGAAACUUACGCUAAUACCUCAUACGACCUACGGGUGAAAGCAGGGGAUCUUCGUACCUUGCGCGAUUGAAUGAGCCGAUGUCGGAUUAGCUAGUUGGCGGGGUAAAGGCCCACCAAGGCGACGAUCCGUAGCUGGUCUGAGAGGAUGAUCAGCCACACUGGAACUGAGACACGGCCCAGACUCCUACGGGAGGCAGCAGUGGGGAAUAUUGGACAAUGGGCGCAAGCCUGAUCCAGCCAUACCGCGUGGGUGAAGAAGGCUUUCGGGUUGUAAAGCCCUUUUGUUGGGAAAGAAAAGCAGCAGGUUAAUACCCCGCUGUUCUGACGGUACCCAAAGAAUAAGCACCGGCUAACUUCGUG